ACGAACGCUGGCGGCAUGCCUAACACAUGCAAGUCGAACGAACCCUUCGGGGUUAGUGGCGCACGGGUGCGUCACGCGUGGGAAUCUGCCCUUUGCUUCGGAAUAACUCAGGGAAACUUGUGCUAAUACCGGAUGAUGUCUUCGGACCAAAGAUUUAUCGGCAAGGGAUGAGCCCGCGUAGGAUUAGGUAGUUGGUGGGGUAAAGGCCUACCAAGCCGACGAUCCUUAGCUGGUCUGAGAGGAUGAUCAGCCACACUGGGACUGAGACACGGCCCAGACUCCUACGGGAGGCAGCAGUGGGGAAUAUUGGACAAUGGGCGCAAGCCUGAUCCAGCAAUGCCGCGUGAGUGAUGAAGGCCCUCGGGUCGUAAAGCUCUUUUACCAGGGAUGAUAAUGACAGUACCUGGAGAAUAAGCUCCGGCUAACUCCGUG
rnacentral:rRNA from 1 species